rnacentral:rRNA from 1 species
GAUCCUGGCUCAGGAUGAACGCUAGCUACAGGCUUAACACAUGCAAGUCGAGGGGCAGCAUGGUCUUAGCUUGCUAAGACCGAUGGCGACCGGCGCACGGGUGAGUAACGCGUAUCCAACCUGCCUUACGCUCUUGGACAGCCUUCUGAAAGGGAGAUUAAUACAAGAUGUUAUCAUGAGUAAGCAUUUUCGCAUGAUUAAAGGUUUACCGGUGGUAAGAUGGGGAUGCGUU